AUUGAACGCUGGCGGCAGGCCUAACACAUGCAAGUCGAACGAGUGGCGGACGGGUGAGUAAUGUCUGGGAAACUGCCUGAUGUAGGGGGAUAACUACUGGAAACGGUAGCUAAUACCGCAUACCAGCGGAUGUGCCCAGAUGGGAUUAGCUAGUUGGUGGGGUAACGGCUCACCUAGUAGACGAUCCCUAGCUGGUCUGAGAGGAUGACGAGCAACGCCGGAACUGAGGCAAGGGCCAGACGCCUACGGGAGGCAGCGGUGGGGAAUAUUGCACAAGGGGCGCAAGCCGGAUGCGGCCAUGCCGGGUGUGUGAAGAAGGCCUUCGGGUUGUAAAGUACUUUCAGCGGGGAGGCGUUACCCGCAGAAGAAGCACCGGCUAACUCCGUGCCAGCAGCCGCGGUAAUUC
rnacentral:rRNA from 1 species